rnacentral:tRNA from 1 species
GGGGUUGUAGCUCAGUGGUGGAGUGCUUGCCUUGCAAGCUUGAGGCACUGGGUUCAAUCCUCACUACCACA